UGCGUAGGCGGGUUUUUAAGUCAGGGGUGAAAUCCUGGAGCUCAACUCCAGAACUGCCUUUGAUACUGAAGAUCUUGAGUCCGGGAGAGGUGAGUGGAACUGCGAGUGUAGAGGUGAAAUUCGUAGAUACUCGCAAGAACACCAGUGGCGAAGGCGGCUCACUGGCCCGGUACUGACGCUGAGGCACGAAAGCGUGGGGAGCAAACA
rnacentral:rRNA from 1 species